rnacentral:lncRNA from 1 species
GCGAGUGGAGCCCCUGGGGCCCGUGCCGGGAGCCCUGCAGCGGUGGCUUCCGGCUGCGCCGGCGCCACGUCCAGCACCCGGCCGAGGGCAGGUGGUGCUGGGGAGCCCGGGUCCAGUCGGAGAGCUGCAACACGGCCGCCUGCCCAGGGGAGGAGUGCAAGGAUCGGGGCAAGGAGCACGCCCCGGCCUGCGCCAACCGCUGCCCCCGCACCUGCGCCGACCUGUGGGAGCACGUGGAGUGUCUGCAGGGGGAGUGCAAGCCAGGCUGCCGGUGCCCCGAGGGGCAGCUGCUGCAGGACGGCGUGUGCGUGCCAGUGCUGGCCUGCCGCUGCG